UGUGUAUGUGUAUGAUUGUGGGAUUUGCAUAGGAUAACGAACAAGGAAGGCUCAUUUUCCUCGGGAUUUUACACUAAAAUUGCAUAGCUAAAGUCAUGGUGGAUACAAUUAUGAAAAGCGUUUUGUUCUGUAUCGCCCGGUACGAUGUCAACAAAGGUUAAGGAAAUAUUGGUACGUCAGCAUCAAGGGUCGAGCGAAAGUGAUGCAUCCAUUAGAUUCGGAAAAUUCUAUUAAGUCUCUUUUGUUCAAAAUCAAAAAGUUUUCCAUUAGAGAAACCAAAAAUAAACUUACUGCGGAUAUGCAUUAUAAGCGUGCAGAAAUUCUUUCAUCUUCAUCUCAGGAUACAGGAGGAC